UACGUAGGCAGCAAGCGUUGUUCGGAGUUACUGGGCGUAAAGCGAGUGUAGGCGGUUUGAUAAGUCGGAUGUGAAAGCCCCGGGCUCAACCCGGGAAGUGCACUCGAUACUGUCAAGCUAGAGUAUCGGAGAGGUUGGUGGAAUUCUCGGUGUAGAGGUGAAAUUCGUAGAUAUCGAGAGGAACACCGGUGGCGAAGGCGGCCAACUGGACGAAUACUGACGCUGAGACUCGAAAGCGUGGGGAGCAAACAGG
rnacentral:rRNA from 1 species